rnacentral:rRNA from 1 species
GACAGAGGUGCCGAGCGUUAGGCGGAAUUACUGGGCGUAAAGCGUGCGUAGUCGGUAUUGAGAGUCGCGGGUGAAAUCCCAGGGCUUAACCCUGGAACUGCCUGCGAGACCUCAGUACUAGAGUGUGAGAGGGGAUAGUGGAAUACCAAGUGUAGCGGUGAAAUGCGUAGAGAUUUGGUGGAACACCGGUGGCGAAGGCGAGUCUCUGGACAUUUCCUGACGCUGAGGCACGAAAGCCAGGGGAGCAAACGGG